UGUUCAUUUUUUAGCAAGUACAAAGGUCUCGGAUUGGAGGGGUUCUCUAAUGUAAGCGAUAGACAUAAUUCUCCUUUUUUGUCAUUAAUUGGAACAUAUCAGGAAUUAAACUGCACUUUUUCUAAAAUAUUGUAGGAUGAUUUACAAGCUCUACGCCAAAAAUUCCUUUUUGAGAUUGUAACUUGCAAGGACAAUGAAAUUCAGCUGCCGUUAGUAACUUCUUUCCUGCAGAGACAUGGUUUCCGCAUAUUCAAGUGAAGCUUUGAGUGCCAAUCUUUACUCAUUCUGCAUAUGUAGUCACCUUAGGGUCUCAUUAAUACUGUCACCUUCAAGGGAAGUUGCACUGCAAGAUUCAACUCAAAGGAAUACUUCCAUGGGAAAAAUGUUUCCUUACCGAUAGAGUUAUCUUUUUUUUCUCUUCUGGUCUAGUGAUAGUUUCUUCCAAGACCUUCAGCUGUAAACAAUGUCCGGAAACAGCUGAAACAGUUUUGUAAACGAGCAGUAAGACAUGUACAUUUUUUUUGUCUUUCAUGACGCCUUGGUGAUACUAUCAUCACUCAAUUCAUCAAGCUGUAAGCUUACCACUUUUAUGACAGUUUUAGAAGUACCACUUUGUAACAAAUGUAAAAUGAAAUUUCAUGUUUUUUAUAAUUAAAAACUAGUUGAAUCAAUAGGAACAGCACCUAGGUUCAGAAAUAGGAACCGAUUUCUUUGGGAAACAGUAGAAACAG